GAUGAACGCUGGCGGCAUGCCUAACACAUGCAAGUCGAACGGAAAAUCUGGUUUCGAUCAGGUUUUGAGUGGCGCACGGGUGAGUGACACGUAACUGAUCUGCCCCGAAGAGCGGGAUAACGCACCGAAAGGUGUGCUAAUACCGCAUAAGCUCACGGCGAUUAGAAGGCUGUGAGAAAAGGCUCCGGCGCUUCGGGAUGAGGUUGCGGCCCAUCAGCUAGUUGGUGAGGUAAAAGCUUACCAAGGCGACGACGGGUAGGGGGCCUGAGAGGGUGACCCCCCACACUGGGACUGAGACACGGCCCAGACUCCUACGGGAGGCAGCAGUGAGGAAUAUUGCUCAAUGGGCGCAAGCCUGAAGCAGCGAUGCCGCGUGGGUGACGAAGGCUUUCGGGUCGUAAAGCCCUUUUCUCGGUGAAGAGGAAGGACGGUAACCGAGGAAUAAGUGUCGGCUAACUACGUGCCAGCAGCCGCGGUAAAACGUAGGGGGCGAGCGUUAU
rnacentral:rRNA from 1 species